rnacentral:sRNA from 1 species
CUUCCGAUGUAGACCCGUAUGCUUCGCCUGCACCACGGGUCUGGUUAGGUGCAGGCGUUUU